rnacentral:rRNA from 1 species
UACGUAGGGUGCGAGCGUUGUCCGGAAUUAUUGGGCGUAAAGGGCUCGUAGGCGGUUUGUCACGUCGGGAGUGAAAACUCGGGGCUCAACCCCGAGCCUGCUUCCGAUACGGGCAGACUAGAGGUAUGCAGGGGAGAAUGGAAUUCCUGGUGUAGCGGUGAAAUGCGCAGAUAUCAGGAGGAACACCGGUGGCGAAGGCGGGUCUCUGGGCCGAUACUGACGCUGAGGAGCGAAAGCGUGGGGAGCGAACGGG